GACCUGGUAGCCCAGCGGUUAGUCCGUCUGCUGAAAAUAUACAACCUCGAGAUUAGCUUUUCGCAGAAAACCCCGGUUCGAAUUCGGGCUAGGUCA